rnacentral:rRNA from 1 species
UACGAAGGGGGCUAGCGUUGCUCGGAAUCACUGGGCGUAAAGGGUGCGUAGGCGGGGCUUUAAGUCAGGGGUGAAAUCCUGGAGCUCAACUCCAGAACUGCCUUUGAUACUGAGGAUCUUGAGUACGGGAGAGGUGAGUGGAACUGCGAGUGUAGAGGUGAAAUUCGUAGAUAUUCGCAAGAACACCAGUGGCGAAGGCGGCUCACUGGCCCGGUACUGACGCUGAGGUGCGAAAGCGUGGGGAGCAAACAGG